AAACUUAAAGGAAUUGACGGGACCCGCACAAGCGGUGGAUGAUGUGGUUUAAUUCGAUGCAACGCGAAAACCUUACCCACCUUUGACAUGUACGGAACCCUUUAGAGAUAGAGGGGUGCUCGAAAGAGAGCCGUAACACAGGUGCUGCAUGGCUGUCGUCAGCUCGUGUCGUGAGAUGUUGGGUUAAGUCCCGCAACGAGCGCAACCCUUGUCAUUAGUUGCUACAUUCAGUUGGGCACUCUAAUGAGACUGCCGGUGACAAACCGGAGGAAGGUGGGGAUGACGUCAAGUCCUCAUGGCCCUUAUAGGUGGGGCUACACACGUCAUACAAUGGAUGGUACAAAGGGUCGCCAACCCGCGAGGGGGAGCCAAUCCCAUAAAGCCAUUCGUAGUCCGGAUCGCAGUCUGCAACUCGACUGCGUGAAGUCGGAAUCGCUAGUAAUCGUGGAUCAGAAUGUCACGGUGAAUACGUUCCCGGGUCUU
rnacentral:rRNA from 1 species